GUCUGCUGGAAACCCUGGAAGAUCUGAGGCAGAAGGGGUCUGGGAGUUCAAGUUCACACUGAAUACAAUCAAGGUAGAAGGUGAUUAUAACUCAGCUUUCUGGGACAUAUUGGAAACAGCAAAGCCUGUGGAUGUCAUCAAUGGGAUGAUCAACUACUAUAGGAAAGACUAUGAUCAGAAGAUAGUCAUGGAGGUGCUGAGAGCCAUCAACCUGUGGGAUCUGUCGGAGAGACACAUCGAUGCAGCAAAGGCUGGCUGCUCAGAGAGCUGAGGAAGGAGAUGCCAUGGAGAAAGCAGUGAGCGAUUGCUUACAUGACAUUCUUGAAGAGCUGACAAAGAAUGAGCUCAAGAAAUUCAAGUUGAAACUGAACAAAUUUAAGCUGAAGAGGGAUAAUGUCAAUAUCCCCAUGGGUAAAUUAGAGGAUGCAUCACCUGUGGACAUGACUCAAUCCCUGCUCAGCUACUAUGGAGAGGACUAUGGGGCGGAAGUGACAGUGAAUGUGCUGAAAUCUAUAAACAGGAGAGAUCUGGCUCAGAAACUCUCUGAGACACUGAGACCUGAUGGUUUAACUCCAGUCCCAGAACCUCAGCAAUCCCCAAAGCCAGGGGACAAAGACCGUCCCAAAGGAAGAGAGAAUGAGAACCCAGAGAGGGCAACAGCCACGGCCUCAGAGACUCCUGAAUGGGAAGUAAAAGAUGAAGCCACAUGUCCAAUUUGUUUGGAUUAUUUGGCGACCCAGUGACUAUAGACUGUGGGCACAGCAGCUGCAAAAUCUGCAUCACUACAUACUGUGAGAAAUCGGAAGAGGGAAAUCAUGGCUGUCCCAUCUGCAGAUCAAAGAUGGAGAAAGUGAAUUUCAGGCCUAACUGGCAGCUGGCCAGUCUAGUAGAAAAAGUUAAAUGUAGAUUGAAACCAGGAAAAGAGGAAAAGGAGAAUCUGUGUGAGAGACACAAGGAAAAACUCAGCCUGUUCUGUGAAGAGGAUGGGGAAUUCAUAUGUGUGGAAUGUGACAAAUCCGCACUGCACAAAGCGCACACAGUGGUCCUCAUUAAAGAGGCUGUCCAGAAGUAUAAGGUAAGAACCACUUUGAUGUUGAUUAAUUAAAUCCUUUUCUUUUCAGACUAAUAUGAACUUUCCUCUCAGGGGAGUUGACAUUUCUGAGGCUCUUUCAGAACAGCAGAAUCUCUCCUUUUCCCAGAU
rnacentral:lncRNA from 1 species